AAUACGUUCCCGGGCCUUGUACACACCGCCCGUCAAGCCAUGGAAGCCGGAGGCGCCUGAAGUCCGUAACCGCAAGGAGCGGCCCAGGGCGAAAUCGGUAACUGGGGCU
rnacentral:rRNA from 1 species